UUUAUUUAAUUGAGUCGAAUUUUUAGAACUUUUAAUCGUUGCACUAACUUGAGAAAGUGAAUCGAAAAAGGCUGGAGCAGAUUCUGUGGCUCGGAUAAUCGUAAGAUUAUGCCGUCAACUGCCUGGAAAUAUGUACUAUCCUGGUUCCUUGGAUCCUGAACAGUUGGCAAAAAUGAAGGCUAUACGAGUAUGUUUCACUUCCACAUGGUGGGACCAUUGGUAUCCAUUUGCUGCCUUAUCUUGAAUCGUAUCACGGACACUGUGCGGAGGGGGUCUAAAAUUGUGUUUAUGGUGAUGUGGAUUCUGCGACAUUGAGUUGGAGGGCUGCGUAACAGCAUUAGCGGAUUGGGGGUGUUGGGGAGGGCGUUCCCAAGGAUUGUGCGUGUUGCGGCGGUGCUUCUCAGAGGUUGUCGGCGUUGGGUUGGGCGUUGAGGCGUUGGGGCGGGCGUGGCAGCUGCAACUCUCUAAUUUCAUUUACACACUUUUCAACGCUCCUUUGCUCCAAUUGAGCUGCAUCUAAGUGUUUGCCUAGGUGUGCCCCACUCAAGCCCUCGACUCACUGACUCGACUCGCCCACUCACUCAAACACAAAGCCACCGUUGCUGCCACAAAGUGGAGGGAAAUGGAAGGUGGUUCUGGCUGCUAGCUGCUAGCUGCUGGUUGCUUGUUGCUGGUUGCUGGCUGGUGGUUCUCUCUGUCAGCAAUCAACAUGUUCAAUUGAGCAUAUCCUGCCGGUUGCAGGACACUGCCAGAGCAGCGCAAUGUGAUUACCCGACGCUAUUUUGUACACACACGAGACUAGCAUUCGCAUCCGUAUCCGUACUCCGUAUCCACAGCAACAGGAGAAGGACCCAAACCCGAACCAGGACCAGGACGUAGAGAGAACCCGGACUAAAGCAGGACAAGAACAAGGACACGUAACGGAGGAGGUCAGGCAGGCGCCUGCCCGUUGGCUCCCUUUUACAUUUCAUUGGAUUUUAUGCGUUUCACUUUAUGCUGAUGUUUUUAUUAUUA